CUUCCCUACGGGAGGCAGCAGUGGGGAAUAUUGCACAAUGGGGGAAACCCUGAUGCAGCGACGCCGCGUGAGUGAAGAAGUAAUUCGUUAUGUAAAGCUCUAUCAGCAGGGAAGAAAAUGACGGUACCUGAGUAAGAAGCCCCGGCUAACUACGUGCCAGCAGCCGCGGUAAUACGUAGGGGGCAAGCGUUAUCCGGAUUUACUGGGUGUAAAGGGAGCGUAGACGGCAGAGCAAGUCUGAAGUGAAAGCCCGCGGCCCAACUGCGGGACUGCUUUGGAAACUGCCCGGCUAGAGUGCUGGAGCG
rnacentral:rRNA from 1 species